UGGAACUCGGGUACUUGCACAGUCGCAGAAGACAUGGCGAGAAUGGUAUUUAUCUGUGUGAAAGUAAGAGGCGCGUGCAAUGCAUGCUGGGAUAUGUAGUCGGCGCCAAGCUUAGUGCAGCUUGAGGUGGGUGUGAAACUCCUCCCAGGCCGAAGAGUGAGCUGUUGCUCCAAGAAUCAGACGCCCCACUGUGGAGUCUUAGGGCUGUCCCUUGCUCCCCAACGUGGCUUAGCUACCUCGCUCCCGGUACGUCCUUGUCAGCGACGUUCAGACUUUCUUGGCAACCCUCAAGCGCGGCGAUCAAGGGCCCUGAAAGCCAGACUGACCGACUCGCAGAACCCCAAGCCUUUCAAAAGUGCUAGGUUCCCGACAGGAAGGUCUCGCUAAGCGAAUGAAAGUGUUAAACCUACCGGGAAAGUUCGCUGCCGCUUCCUAGAGUCUCUCGGGCUUGGGGACCUUUCCGUUUCCGGUGCUGGCCUCCAAGCCUCCAGUGCCCCAUUCUCCCAACUGUGCUGAUGAGUUAGACAGGUGGCAUUUAGAAAACCGAGCGCCUUUCGGCCGCAAUGGAAUUU
rnacentral:lncRNA from 1 species